rnacentral:rRNA from 1 species
UACGUAGGGCCCGAGCAUUAUCCGGAAUUAUUGGGCGUAAAGAGCGUGUAGGUGUUUGUACAAGUCGGUCGUUUAAAUCUCAGAGCUCAACUCUGAGGCCGCGAGCGAAACUGUACGAAUUGAGGUUUACAGGGCAAGCAGAAUUUCUGGAGUAGGGGUGAAAUCCGUUGAUACCAGAAGGAAUACCAAUGGCGAAGGCAGCUUGCUGGGUAACACCUGACACUGAGACGCGAAAGCGUGGGGAGCAAACGGG